GAGGGGGCUGCUACUGUUGUUCACUCUCCGCAGACAGGGAAACUGAAGCCUAGGGAUUUAAGCGAACCUUCCAAGGUUGCUGAAAGAGUUGAGGUCAAACCAAGAUGGGACCUGACUUGCUCUCCAAGGUACACCCUGUUUGCGUCCUCCAAGAUACGCCCUGCUUAUGUGACGCUUACUUAAGAAAAGCAUAAAGAGGACCCACGUUAUCGUUCGUGACACGAGACUUCCUGGAUGGCACGAACCCACCCAGUUACACAUCUGAGCUUUGGAGAACUAAGGGCAUUGCCGGAGAGAAGAUGCAGGACUGGCUUCACCGGGAACGGCGCCAGGGAUACUGGAAGGCGGAGAAACCAGCUGCGGUGCCAGGUCUCCUGAGACCGAAGAGCUUUAUCCUCCAGGAGACCCCCCACUGCUGAGAAGAUGACCAGAAAGAAGGGAAGGUCUCUGAAUGUGUCCACUGGUGAGGCUGAACCCAUCAAGGAGACUCUGAGUCAGACUCUGAGGAGACUCUGAGACUCCUCUGUCCGUGCUAUGGGUCAGAUCGCGUGCUCCAAGUUCAUAUGUUGACAACCUGGCCCACCAGCAGCUCCAAGUAUGACCAUAUUUAGAAAUAGGGUCAUCACAGACCCAGUAAGAUCAGAGUCAUCAUAAAGAGGGGGUUGGGGAUGACACACGGGGAGAACUUGGUGGCACGAGGAUGGUGGGGAGUGGGUGAUGCGUAUGCCCAGGGAGCUCCGAAGACCUUCUGAGCAUCUGGGAGACGGCAAGUACCCCAGUCACAGCACCGGAAGGAGCCAGUCCUGUCCACACCUGGAUCCUGGACUUCUGGCCUCGAGACGGUGCGACACUGGUUUCUGCUGUUUGCACCUUCCGGCGUGGGGUUCUUUUCUGCGGCAGCCCUGAAGAAUACGGCAGGGUGGUGGGUGUUCAGUCUUUCGCCGGCUUCGAGAACAGCACCAGUGGGUUCCGUUGUCUGCUUUCUGGGUCCGCACUGCUCGCCCCCGUUCAGCGGCCUGCACGUUCUGUUGGACUCGCACGGUUCUGCCGCCCCGGCUAACUGCAUGCCCCGAGUUUCUGGUUCCUCACGUCACUGCCGGUGUCUUGAGCGGCUGCACAGGUGUUAACUCCUCUCCAGGUGGCUUUUGACCAGUUGGAAACAGAAGACGUCGGGACAGCCUCUGUGAGGAGGGGUUCCGUGACCUCGCUUUACAGACACUCGGCCUCCUGGUUACUCCUGUCUUUCCCCAGUGGAGAAGGUGACGAAUGCCCGGAGCUAGAGGGCCGUGACUGGGCUUGUUGGUCCUCCACACAUUCACAGCACCCCUGCUCCUGAGCUGCGUAGUAACGUUCGCCCACGGGGCUUGGUUUCUACAAGAUGAGACCCGAGAGUCAGCGAAGACAAAUGAAGCCUUUUGUAAGACCUGUCCUCGCAUUAAAAAGUAAGAGGGUAUUACCCUUUCAAAAAGCAAGAUUUGAAAAGCAGGAUUUGAAAACCAGUGAAAGGCCUGGACAAACCUCACUCCACCCGAAACUUGUUUACGCCCGAAAGUGUUAUCAACCGGCUACUUCUGCUUCUGUAAAAGUGCUUGCUCAACGGUGGGCUAACUAGCUACUUUCGCUUCUGUUCGAAUGCUUGCUUGAUGCCCUUGCAGGCUCCCAACACCAAUCAACCAACACCAGGUAUGAUUUUUUAAACUUGUUUGUACUCCUCCCAAAACUUGUCUGUACCUGCUUAUAAAAACCCUGCAUUUACUCUGCUUGGGACCUCUCAGCAUCACCGGCAACAAGUGCACGUUGGUCCGGGUUCGAACUCGUAA